GCUUAAGAUAUCAAAUCAAAACUAAAAGGAAAGUCUCGAAAAAUAAGCAAGGCGUACCGACCCAAAACUGAAGAAGCAGAAACACUCAACAAAGUUCAUCAAAAACUAAUAACCUGAAAUAUACAGAACUAAAAGGAG